CGAAUCGCAUGGCCUUGUGCCGGCGAUGGUUCAUUCAAAUUUCUGCCCUAUCAACUUUCGAUGGCAGGGUCUUGGCCUGCCAUGGUUACAACGGGUAACGGAGGGUUAGGGCUCGACCCCGGAGAAGGAGCCUGAGAAACGGCUACUACAUCCAAGGAAGGCAGCAGGCGCGCAAAUUACCCAAUCCCGAUUCGGGGGGGUAGUGACAAUAAAUACUGAUACAGGGCUCUUUUGGGUCUUGUAAUUGGAAUGAGUACAAUUUAAAUCCCUUAACGAGGAACAAUUGGAGGGCAAGUCUGGUGCCAGCAGCCGCGGUAAUUCCAGCUCCAAUAAGCGUAUAUUAAAGUUGUUGCAGUUAAAAAGCUCGUAGUUGAACCUUGGGCCUGGCUGGCCGGUCCGCCUCACCGCGUGCACUGGUUCGGCCGGGCCUUUCCCUCUGGGGAGCCUCAUGCCCUUCACUGGGUGUGUUGGGGAACCAGGACUUUUACUGUGAAAAAAUUAGAGUGUUCAAAGCAGGCCUAUGCUCCAAUACAUUAGCAUGGAAUAAUAGAAUAGGACGUGUUGGUUCUAUUUUGGUUGGUUCUAGGACCCNCGUAAUGAUUAAUANGGACAAGUCCGGGGGCAUUAGUAUUCAAAUUGUCAGAAGUGAAAAUUNUUUGGAUUUUUUGGAAGACUAACUACCUGCGAAAAGCAUUUGCCAANG
rnacentral:rRNA from 1 species